UACGUAGGUGGCGAGCGUUGUCCGGAUUUACUGGGCGUAAAGAGCGCGCAGGCGGUCGUACAAGUCGCGUGUGAAAGCCCCCGGCUCAACUGGGGAGGGUCACGCGAUACUGUUCGACUCGAAGGCAGGAGAGGGAAGCGGAAUUCCCGGUGUAGUGGUGAAAUGCGUAGAUAUCGGGAGGAACACCUGUGGCGAAAGCGGCGCACUGGACCACAACUGACGCUGAGGCGCGAAAGCUAGGGGAGCAAACAGG
rnacentral:rRNA from 1 species